UACGUAGGGGGCAAGCGUUGUCCGGAAUUAUUGGGCGUAAAGCGCGCGCAGGCGGUCAUUUAAGUUUGGUGUAUAAUCCUGGGGCUCAACCCCAGGCCGCAUUGAAAACUGGGUGACUUGAGUGCGGGAGAGGAAAGUGGAAUUCCACGUGUAGCGGUGAAAUGCGUAGAUAUGUGGAGGAACACCAGUGGCGAAGGCGGAUCACUGGACUGCCACUGACGCUGAGGCGCGAAAGCUAGGGGAGCAAACAGG
rnacentral:rRNA from 1 species